AGGGACUAUUACAUACUGUGAGCGUGAUUAAAAAUUGAAAUAAUUUUUCAAUUAUUAUUAUUUUGGAUAAUACCUUGGUGCCCCUCAUGAAUGAGGCAGUCACAAGUCUCCUGCUACAUACCUUUGUCCAAAGAUGAAGCGUAAAGAGAAACCCUCACUGACACACUGCAGAGGUCAUGCUCAAGAAUGAUCCCAGCAGUACCAUUCACACAGUUUGAAAAGUGAGGCAACGUGAUUUCAAUCAAGAGUAUAAUGAACAGAACCAUAUUUACAUAUUCGUAUAGGGGUGAAGAGGAAGGUCAGCUACACAAACCUGCAUGAUAAAUCUUAAAAAUAUCCUAUGGGUGAAAGAACAAGAUACAAAACAACACAGAUAAUAGUUUCAUUAUGAAGUUCAAAACCAGGCAAAACUCACAGUACACAGAUAAAGGAGGAACCACGAACUGACAAUCUAAACCAUCUGGAUUGUGGUCCCGUGUGAGGCCUGGGCACAGGGAGGGGUGUGCUGGGUUAAUAGAGGGACACAGCUUGGGUCCACAGAGGGAUUCAGAAGCCUGUACAGUGUUCUUCUGUCUUAUGGGCAGCCAAGAGUAAACAGGGGAGUUGGCCUUGUUUCUGCUACCACGCUUUAGAACACAGACAUGACGACUCUCUCUCUGUGCAUUACAUUAUUGAUAUAAAAAUAAAUCCAGGGAUGAGUGUGGCUUAGAAAACAUAGCUGGCUGGCCCAGCAGCAACCAUUGGAUGAAAGGCUUCACGGUGUAGUCUCCCAGGACAGGGUUGGUGGCGGCCCCACUGGAGGUACACAUUAGUAGCCCUUUCACAAGCCGUUCCCUUCUGACUCAUAGCCAUUAAGGCUCUCCUGUAAAAUGAAGACCUCAGUCCCUACUGCUAAGUCCUGAUCUCUUGACUCCAUAGCAACGGGAACAUUCGCUCUACACAGACUUUGUUGUGAAGAAGGCCAUUUUGCAAAGGAUUUGUGGUAAAAAUGAAGGUGAUGCCACUUCGCUGACAUCGUUGUCACCUGUGGAGACACUGGUGGAGCCCGAGAGCCUUAGCUGAAAUAUCCCGGGCUCCCAGUCUUCUUCCACUUGGCUCCUUCUACGAGCUCAACUAGCAGAUGCCUGCUCAUCUGUGGCAGCUUUUGACUCAACAGAUUGAGUCAGGGUGUUUCUCUCUGGGGAACGUGAUAAUCCAGAUAAAGCCUUCGGGGAGUGUGAUCUUCACCAGGACACCUUCUGUAUUUCAUGGGUAUUCACGGUAACUGCUUGGCCUAUCUGGAUCUGUUUCCCUCCCCUCUGAAAAGCUCCAGCGGAGAAUGGUAAACAACACGUUACUGAGAAUUCUGAGAAUUCUGACUUGAGAAAGUUCUCACUGUGCAGCCUUGGUUGGCCUGGAAGUCACUGAGGAGAUCAGACUGGCCUUGAACUCACAGAGGUCACCUGCCUCUGAGGUUAAAGACCAUGAGAACUGUCUCUCGGGGCAAAGUCAUGUCUCCGAGCCUGAGGCUAUCUCUAAUCCGGCUGAAGAGUGAGCUCAGGCAUCUUCAACAGGGACCGUCUACAGUUGGUCCAGGGACAUGACUGCAAUGGUACCAUUUCCCAGGUAAGGGGAAAGUCAGAGGGGAAAGCUCACCCUCCCUCAGAAACCCUCUACCUCCUAAGUCACCAGAGGCAUCCUUGCUGAGGCGGAGACUGGGGAAUUCAGUCCUCAGCCACUUGGCUGCAGUUCAGCCACUGCACAUCAUCUCCUAGGAUACACGUGCAUGUUCACCUCCGAAGUCAGGCUUCACUCUAUGGUCUAUGGUCACUCAAGUUGCUGCUCUAGUGUUGAUUCUCACCUCUUUCCUCCGGAAAUCGAGUAGCACCGUCAGCAUGAAGUGACUUUACGUGAGCUAUUUCAGAUAUUUUCUUAAACCACACUCAGUGUGACUGUACACCAGAAAUCAAUGUGCCUGUUCCUCAUUUGAGUUCCCAUGGGAAACCGCCUGACUCCAAUCUCUGCCACUGUGAGAGGCUUUGGCUCCUUCUUAUUCAGGGAGUAGGUGGGUGGCUUUUUUCUCAUGCCCCCUCAACAAGGAGCGAACCCUUGGUGUCUCACUCUUGUUGGUGCCUUCUGCUUAACCUCCCCCACUCUGAAAUGGUUUUUGUUUCUUAUACAGAAAAAUGUGACAAAUGUUGCCAUAACAAUGUCUUAAAUGUUAUGAAUCAUAUCAGCAAAGAGCUAAAAGAGAAUCCAUACUGGUAGGCAAGUGUGGAAACACCCACGAGACGUUCCAUACAAUGUAGAAAAUAACACGCUUUUAAACUCGUUGAACUGAGAACGGGGUCCCCACUGGAGGAGUUAGAGAAAGGUUCGAAGGAGCUGAAAGGGGUUUGCAACAAUA
rnacentral:sRNA from 1 species